UCUCAAGCUGUGGGUCUGCAAAGGGAAGCCCUUUCUGUUGUCUAAAAGAAGAGAAAGCGCUUCCCUUUGCUGGAUUACGGUUUGAGA
ensembl:miRNA MIR518A2 microRNA 518a-2